UACGAAGGGGGCUAGCGUUGUUCGGAAUUACUGGGCGUAAAGCGUAUGCAGGCGGAUCGUUAAGUCGGGGGUGAAAUCCCGAGGCUCAACCUCGGAACUGCCUUCGAUACUGGCGACCUUCGAGUCCGGGAGAGGUGAGUGGAACUCCGAGUGUAGAGGUGAAAUUCGUAGAUAUUAGGAAGAACACCAGUGGCGAAGGCGGCUCACUGGAUCGGUACUGACGCUGAGGUGCGAAAGCGUGGGGAGCAAACAGG
rnacentral:rRNA from 1 species